rnacentral:rRNA from 1 species
CGGACGGGGUGAGUAAUGUCUGGGAAACUGCCUGAUGGAGGGGGGUAACUACUGGAAACGGUAGCUAAUACCGCAUAACGUCGCAAGACCAAAGAGGGGGACCUUAGGGCCUCUUGCCAUCGGAUGUGCCUAGAUGGGAUUAGCUUGUUGGUGGGGUAACGGCUCACCAAGGCGACGAUCCCUAGCUGGUCUGAGAGGAUGACCAGCCACACUGGAACUGAGACACGGUCCAG